UUGUAAAUAGGCUUCUGUGUCUCUGGAUUAAAGAAUUACAGAAACUAGUUGUAGAGAAUUUUGCCUUCUUUCGUGUUCUAAAUAACGUUCAUUCCUAUUAAAUUUGUGAGAGACUGCUUUUGUGGGAACACCCAUGUAGACUUGAUUAAACACAUCUAUGCUUGGAUGCUCAUUUUCAAGAGUUCCUGAUUCAACAAGUGAUAUAUGAGUGCAAGUCUCAUGCAGAUCUCUAUAAUGGAUUGGGUCGGGUAAACAUUAGUUUAAAUUAAAUUUUUCUUUCAUCCUUUUAUUAAUCAAAAUUACCAAUUCAGCUGUACAUAACCUUUCUGUACAAAACGCAAGCAAGGUUUUUAUUUGAAUCACUUCCACUUGAAUGUCACAUUUUUGCAUUUACUAUGCAAAAAAGUAGAUGAAAAAUAAUGGAUCAGCUUUGCAAGUAGAUGCAGCCACCUCAUUCUGAAGUCUGGAUUGUGACAGGCCCAUGCAUGUGACUUUCUAGUACAGAGGUUUUCUUUAACAUGGCACAACUUAUUCUUGGCUUAGGUAUGAUGUGAGACAACACAAAUGUCAUUAAAAGACUUACUGGAUCUAAACAGUUCUGAAUCAAAACAUCCAACGGACAGAUUUUUAGUCCCAUAUUAAUUUUAAAUAUAUGAAUCAUAUCACAUCUAUUUUUUUUUAUUUUGUGUAAAAAAAAAGUUUUGAUUUCUCUGUCUAAAUGUGGCAGUUCACUAACCUUUUCUUGUAUUAGUAGCAGUGCUUUAAAUAAAAAAAACUGGAAAUAACACCAUUUGGAUAUUACUAUUUUCAACAUUAUUAGUUUUAAUUCACAGUUCAGUUCUAUCUACUACUGUCCUCUUGCACUUCACCAGCUGAAUUUAUGAAGGAAGCUAAAGUCUUAUGAUAACUGGGUUUAUCCCAGACCUCUAAUAAUUACUUGGAACAAGAGAUGGAAACAGGACAUACAAAGGUUCUGAUCCUAGUUUUUCAUCCGUCAGUAAAAAAAAAUAAAGGUUCCUUCAAGUCUCACUUCACUUAUGACUUCACAUCAUUCUUGGCUCAUUUGUGCUGUGCUAAAAUAGGAGAAAAUAUGAGACUUGUAACCUUCUCCAGGCAGGGUAGAACGCAACCAAGACCAAGGCCAAAAAAAGGAACUGCAUGUCUAAUCAUCCUUCAAGAAUUGGGUCAUUGGAGCAAGAGAAAGAGUAUGAAAUUUGAAAGAAAAGAAAAAGAAUGGAGGAUGGGACAAAUGCUGAUUCUCUGCUACCAAGCAACAGAGGAAGAGGAAAAAAAUGAUGAUGAUGAUUGUUUGAUGUGACACAGGAUGUUUCAGUGAGCAGUUAAACUGAUUUAGUUACAUCAUCAAAGCCAUGAUGUGCUUAAUUCACCCAUCAGAAUCAAACUGUCAUUAUUUUGAGAAGAUUCUAAGGAUGAGUCAAGAUGGAAGCAGCUUAACUUGAGAGUUUGACAUACUUGGCCUCAUCAUAAUCACAUGUUCCAAACACCAGAUGAACAAGCAACGAAUCCUGAAGAAGGAGCAGUACUAGUGGGUCCUGUGGGGAAAUAAUUCUCUUGUUAGGUGCUCAGUGAUUUUAUUCAUUUAUGGAAGCCCUAAAGCCUGAUGUUGUUGUUAACCAUAAAAUUAAUGUCUAGUAUAUCCUGUAUUUGAAUGUGCAAUGUCAUCUUUCAUAUGUUCCUCCUUUAGUCACACUUGGGCGUAUGAUAUAAUUGAAACAAGGCAAUGUGUUCUCAUUGAAAAUAAACUAGCUAUUUCUGGA